UUCGCUUCUAUAUAUAGAGCGUCCGACGGAAAUUUCGUAUCUUUGGAAAGUAUUACUUUCAAAAAUCUUUUUUGUAUAAUAUUUAAAGGAGUUAAAUAACUUUUUGUUAAUCCGCCCCAACCCAGUAUUCCAUAAUUUAGAUGACUUUCGACAAGAGCAUGGUAAGAUGGUAUAUGACGUAGCUUCCGUAUUCAUCCUUAUACAGUCAAAAGGAGGUAAAUUGACCUUAGUGCAACUAAAAGCUCAUCCCAUGACUCCGAUUUAUAGAAUAUGGCAGUGUCAUCUGCAUAUCCAAUGAUCUCUCCUUUACUUGGAAUCGAA